rnacentral:rRNA from 1 species
AGCAGCCGCGGUAAUUCCAGCUCCAAUAGCGUAUAUUAAAGUUGUUGCAGUUAAAAAGCUCGUAGUUGAACUUCGGGAUCAAUGGAUUGGUCAUGCCGAUGGUAUGUACUGGUCAUAUUGGUUCUCACCUUCUAAGGAACCAUGAUGUCAUUCACUUGGUGUUGCGGGGAAUUAGGACUGUUACCUUGAAAAAAUUAGAGUGUUUAAAGCAGGCUAACGCUUGAAUACAUUAGCAUGGAAUAAUGAAAUAGGACAUCGCAUUCUAUUUUGCUGGUUUCUAGGAUCGAUGUAAUGAUUAAUAGGGAUAGUUGGGGGCAUUAGUAUUCAAUUGUCAGAGGUGAAAUUCUUGGAUUUAUUGAAGACUAACUACUGCGAAAGCAUUUGCCAAGGAUGUUUUCAUUAAUCAAGAACGAAAGUUAGGGGAUCGAAGACGAUCAGAUACCGUCGUAGUCUUAACCAUAAACUAUGCCGACUAGGGAUCGGAUGAUGUUAAUUUUUUUAA